GCUUACCUAAAAUUAGCACAAAAUAGAGAAAGAUCAUAAAAUAGCAUGGAAGGCGGAGAUUGACCACAACGACAACGACAAAAACCAUUUACAAUCAAACAGAGCAUUACAAGUAAAAGCAACAAUCCAAUGCAAAGAACCACAAACACACUCUGAAAAACACAACCAAAUGCUGUUUCUUACACCAAAGUUGCCAUGAAUGAGAGGAUUCAGUUGCGAUCGCCCAAUGUGUAUUUGACGGAACGGAAAAAGAAUACCAGAUACAUACAUACAUACAUACGCCGCCCACUCUGAAUUUCUUUUACUUUCUGAGGUGCAAGCAAAUCGCUUCUUCUUUCUCGAAAUAGGAUCGUCGGCCAACUGCAUUGUC
rnacentral:lncRNA from 1 species